rnacentral:misc_RNA from 1 species
GACUUCUCGUAGGGUUUCCGGACGAUCUCAAGAUGUUUCUCACAAGGACUGAGUACGAUCGAGGGGUCAACACCUUCUCGCCGGAGGGGAGAUUAUUUCAGGUCGAGUACGCGAUCGAGGCCAUAAAGCUGGGUUCGACGGCGAUCGGGCUGAAGACGAAGGAGGGUGUCGUGCUCGCAGUCGAGAAGCGCAUCACCUCCCCCCUGCUGGAACCAAGCAGCAUAGAAAAGAUUAUGGAGAUUGAUGAGCACAUAGGAUGUGCUAUGAGUGGGCUGAUAGCUGAUGCCCGCACUCUUGUUGAACAUGCACGUGUUGA